UUUUCUGUAGUGUAGUGGUUAUCACGUUCGCCUCACACGCGAAAGGUCCCCGGUUCGAAACCGGGCAGAAACA
rnacentral:tRNA from 1 species